ACCAAGGGAAUAGGACUUCAAUUGGAAGCUGUUCACUAGAAGGAAGAUUUCCUCCAGAUCCCAACAAGUCCUGCACUAGUUACAGUUGCCAAGGCAGUUAGAGCCAGGACUUCAUUAACUGACCCCAGAGGGUCAUAUCCUCAAAACCUGAGCUGCUGGACUUUUAGGAGAAGGGGUUUCAGUUAUUAUAGCAACCAUCACAUGUGGAAUUUAUCUGGAACCCAGCAUCAGAACUGCAUUCCUAGCCUACAAAUGUCUCAUGGGGAGCAGAUAUCAUUCCAAGCCCCAUGAUUCCUCUGAGGAUAGAAGCGGGGAAGAGUGAUCACUUAGCCCCUAUAAAGCCUUUGUUGAUCAGUCCAGGAGACAGAUUAAAUGAAACAGCACCGAACGAAAUAGACUACAUCAAAGGAGCAUAAAAUCACCUUUGGAGGAACAGAAGGACUCCCCAGUACCCCACAGAGGCAAAGGUACGUGGGGCUUGAACAUUUCAACACUAAAAUAAGAAGGAAAAGCUUGCACAGAAAAGUGAACUGAGCCGCCCUUCCCCCACCCCACCUCCCCCACUAAACCAGAGUGAGCUACCUGAGCUCUCACCGGGACAGUGAGUGAGUGGGGAGCGUCUCUGUCUGGGGGGGCACUCCAGGGUCCUUGGGAUCUGGGGACUGCCAGGAAAAAACGUCUCAGGGCGCUUUCACUGGAGAAGCCAGCGGACUUCGGGCGGGCUGCGCUGAACAAGGCGCGCUGAUUAUCUGGGCGGAGCUGAAUACCUGGGCUCGGAGGCUGGGAAGAACUAGUCUGAAGCAACCUAAAUUCACAGAAAAACCACUCUUAUAACCCAGACCCCAGACCAAAAAGGAAAGG
rnacentral:lncRNA from 1 species